GACCCCAGAGACACCGCCUGCUUCCUGGGCAUCACCACGUGUCACCUGCAGACCAAGAAAGCUGCAGCAACGUCAUCUGCCGAGUUCCUUGAGGGGAAGCCUACCUGGGAGGACUUCAAUGCAGGAGGAGUGAAGAGCCGGGGCCUUCAAGUACGUGAAAUGUUGGCCCUAAACCUCCUCCAAGUCAAGGGCCUUUCACUCGACAAGGCGAUGCCUCUGGUGGAAAGGUACCCAACGCCUAUAAGGUUGUUUGAAGCAUUCGAGAGAGCUGCCUCCGAUCCUCGUGGUAGAUCAGCUUUCCUGAAGGACUGUGGGAUCCCUGGCAAAGCCUUGCACGACAAGUUGUGGACUCUCUAUGGAAGUUCUGAACCGUUGCAGUGAAAGAUGGAAUCGGGGGAAUCACAAUUAAUCACUGAAAAAAAAAAGAAAUUUAUUAAAGAGAAGAUUACAUAUUUAUAUAUCACAAGAGUAGCAUCGUCUCCUCACUGUCGCUCCUUCCAUCAUCAGAAGAAACACAUCAACUUCAAACUGACGACAGAGCGGAAUUCUCAUUUCGAUUCUGGCCUCUGCAUUUUGUUGCUGUUUGCAGGAGAAAUGUCCGAAAUAAAUGUUUUUUGUUCGUUGAAG